GAGUUUGAUCUUGGCUCAGAACGAACGCUGGCAGCAUGCCUAACACAUGCAAGUCGAACGAAGUCUUCGGACUUAGUGGCGCACGGGUGCGUAACGCGUGGGAAUCUGCCCUUGGGUACGGAAUAACUCAGAGAAAUUUGUGCUAAUACCGUAUAAUGACUUCGGUCCAAAGAUUUACCGCCCAAGGAUGAGCCCGCGUAAGAUUAGCUAGUUGGUGGGGUAAAAGCCUACCAAGGCGACGAUCUUUAGCUGGUCUGAGAGGAUGAUCAGCCACACUGGGACUGAGACACGGCCCAGACUCCUACGGGAGGCAGCAGUGGGGAAUAUUGGACAAUGGGCGAAAGCCUGAUCCAGCAAUGCCGCGUGAGUGAUGAAGGCCCUAGGGUUGUAAAGCUCUUUUACCCGGGAUGAUAAUGACAGUACCGGGAGAAUAAGCUCCGGCUAACUCCGUGCCAGCAGCCGCAGUAAC
rnacentral:rRNA from 1 species